GAAAAUACUGAAAUUUUAAUUAUUCUUGGUAACAUAAAAAACGAGUUGUUGAUUUGGCAUUUCAGUGUCCACUUUCUCACGUAAAAAGAGAAUAUUAGUGAACAACAUAACACCAACAAAACUAAGCAGAACACGUACAUGAUUCCCCUUUCCCUAAAGGAAGAAUGUUUAAAGAAACUCUCUUUAAAAGAGGAAACUAGUGCAGCCAUAUAAUAUGUGGUUAGGUUGUGAGGCCAUGAGGUGUGGUUGGCUAGCAAGAUUAUACGAAGCCGACGUUGUAACAGAGGUCCACCAAGAAAAGUUUUCUGCUGAAUCCCACGAAACAGCUACAGCAACAAAGGUCUGACAAACGUCCAUUUUGGAUGGUGGUGACGUAACUUGACGAUGUCGGAUGCGGCUCCACCAUCUCCAUGACUGGACAAAAU
rnacentral:lncRNA from 1 species